rnacentral:rRNA from 1 species
AUUGAACGCUGGCGGCAGGCUUAACACAUGCAAGUCGAGCGGGGGAGGUUGCUUCGGUAACUGACCUAGCGGCGGACGGGUGAGUAAUGCUUAGGAAUCUGCCUAUUAGUGGGGGACAACAUUCCGAAAGGAAUGCUAAUACCGCAUACGCCCUACGGGGGAAAGCAGGGGAUCUUCGGACCUUGCGCUAAUAGAUGAGCCUAAGUCGGAUUAGCUAGUUGGUGGGGUAAAGGCCUACCAAGGCGACGAUCUGUAGCGGGUCUGAGAGGAUGAUCCGCCACACUGGGACUGAGACACGGCCCAGACUCCUACGGGAGGCAGCAGUGGGGAAUAUUGGACAAUGGGCGGAAGCCUGAUCCAGCCAUGCCGCGUGUGUGAAGAAGGCCUUUUGGUUGUAAAGCACUUUAAGCGAGGAGGAGGCUCUUGAGGUUAAUACCCUUGAUGAGUGGACGUUACUCGCAGAAUAAGCACCGGCUAACUCUGUGCCAGCCGCCGCCGUAACAC